rnacentral:rRNA from 1 species
UCCCAGACUCCUGCGGGAGGCAGCAGUGGGGAAUAUUGCACAAUGGGGGAAACCCUGAUGCAGCGACGCCGCGUGAGCGAAGAAGUACCUCGGUAUGUAAAGCUCUAUCAGCAGGGAAGAAGAUGACGGUACCUGACCAAGAAGCUCCGGCUAAAUACGUGCCAGCAGCCGCGGUAAUACGUAUGGAGCAAGCGUUAUCCGGAUUUACUGGGUGUAAAGGGAGCGCAGACGGCGAUGCAAGCCAGGAGUGAAAGCCCGGGGCCCAACCCCGGGACUGCUCUUGGAACUGCGUGGCUGGAGUGCAGGAGGGGCAGGCGGAAUUCCUGGUGUAGCGGUGAAAUGCGUAGAUAUUAGGAGGAACACCAGUGGCGAAGGCGGUCUGCUGGACAGCAACUGACGGUGAGGCGCGAAAGCGUGGGGAGCAAACAGGAUUAGAUACCCCAGUA